rnacentral:rRNA from 1 species
UGAAUACGAGACGCUAAGGCGUCGAAGUAGUGUAUGUCAUACUUCCAAGAAAAGCUUGCACUGUCAUAGAUAAAAAACGCCUGUACCAUAACCGACACAGGUGGGUAGGUAGAGUAUACUAAGGGGCGCGAGAUAACUCUCUCUAAGGAACUCGGCAAAAUAACUCCGUAACUUCGGGAGAAGGAGUGCCUUAUUCGUAAGGUUGCAAUAACAAGAUCCAAGCAACUGUUUAUCAAAAACACAGGUCUCCGCUAAGUCGUAAGACGAUGUAUGGGGGCUGACGCCUGCCCAGUGCCAGAAGGUUAAAGAAGUUGGUUAGCAAUUGCGAAGCUGAUAACUGAAGCCCUGGUGAACGGCGGCCGUAACAAUAACGGUCCUAAGGUAGCGAAAUUCCUUGUCGGGUAAGUUCCGACCCGCACGAAAGGCGUAAUGAUUUGGAUCUGCCUCGGAGAGGGGCUCGGUGAAAUAGACUUGUCUGUGAAGAUGCGGACUACCUGCACCAGGACAGAAAGACCCUAUGAAGCUUUACUGUAACUUGAAAUUGAAAUUGGACUUUAUUCGCGCAGUAUAGGUGGGAGGCGUUGAUUAUAAUCUUGUGGGAUUAUUGGAGCCAUCAGUGAGAUACCACUCUUGUAAUGUUAGAUUUCUAACUUUGAAUCAUUAUCUGGUCAAAGAACAGUUUCAGGCGGGCAGUUUGACUGGGGCGGUCGCCUCCUAAACGGUAACGGAGGCGUACAAAGGUUUCCUCUGAACGGUUAGAAAUCGUAUCUAGAGUGUAAAGGCAUAAGGAAGCUUGACUGUGAGACCUACAAGUCGAGCAGGGACGAAAGUCGGUCUUAGUGAUCUGACGGUACUGAGUGGAAAGGCCGUCACUCAACGGAUAAAAGUUACUCUAAGGAUAACAGGCUGAUCUCCCCCAAGAGUUCACAUCGACGGGGAGGUUUGGCACCUUGAUGUCGGCUCAUCGCAUCCUGGGGCGGUAGUACGUCCCAAGGGUUGGGCUGUUCGCCCAUGAAAGCGGUACGCGAGCUGGGUUCAGAACGUCGUGAGACAGUUCGGUCCAUAUCCGGUGUAGGCGUUAGAAUAUUGAGAGGAGCCUUCUUUAGUACGAGAGGACCGAGAAGGACAUACCUCUGGUGUACCAGUUAUCGUGCCAACGGUAAACGCUGGGUAGCUAUGUAUGGAGUGGAUAACCGCUGAAAGCAUCUAAGUGGGAAGCCCACCUCAAGAUAAGUAUUCUCAUC